UACAGCCACGUGCAAUAGCCCCUGCACGCAAAGGAACAACCCCUGCACGCACAGGAAUAUUACGUCCCAUCUGUAACGUGUACCUUUGGAUGCUAAUCAUAUUAGCAUCUUGUAGCUCCGGACACUAAUAUAAUUAGCAUCUUUGUCCAUGGCGUGCACCAUGUCCGGUCUCGUCCCAAGUCUAUCCCAAGUCCAAUCUGCAGGCGGGGAAUCUCCAGUGAAGCGGGACGCUAUUUUUAUUGGCGUCCUGUGUUCAUCCACUCCCCAUAUGUACCGCUGCUCUCUCUCCCUGCGCUCUCAUUUACGGCUUCCAUUUCGCCCUCAAGCCCUCGCUCGUUCAUUCCUCAUCCAUUGUCUCCCUCGCUCGUUUAUUCCUCAUCCAUUGUCUCAUUUUGGUAGAGCAGCUUACAGUCGGUGGACCAAGAAGGAGAGGAGACAGGUGCAGUUGCAGUGGUAGAUCACAAAGAGAAAAAGAAGAAAUUUGAAAAAAAAUUAUAUUCAUGUAUGUAUUUUGAUUGUUUAAUAAUUUUUAACAUAUAAUAUAUGAAAUGCUUAGGUGAUAAUAAUGUUUAUUAUUCUGAAAAUAAUGUAAUUUUUUUUUAUGCAUGUUGGUAUGUUUGUGAGAAACUUUUGGUGAGCAAGUUGAUAUUUUUGUAUGCAUGGCCUAAGAAAUGGAUUUU
rnacentral:misc_RNA from 1 species